rnacentral:rRNA from 1 species
UACGUAGGGCGCAAGCGUUGUCCGGAAUUAUUGGGCGUAAAGAGCUCGUAGGCGGCUUGUCACGUCGGGUGUGAAAGCCCGGGGCUUAACCCCGGGUCUGCAUUCGAUACGGGCUAGCUAGAGUGUGGUAGGGGAGAUCGGAAUUCCUGGUGUAGCGGUGAAAUGCGCAGAUAUCAGGAAGAACACCCGUGGCUAAGGCGGCUCUCUAGUACGGUACUGACGCUGAGACGCGAAAGCGUGGGGAGCGAACAGG